rnacentral:rRNA from 1 species
AUGUGUCUCCCGUUCCUCUGCGGCGGCCGCGAUGAUCACGGGCCGUCCCCGCGGCACCAUCGAUCCCCGCCGCCGCAGCACCCUCAUGCAUUUUCAGAUCAUUCAGCAGUACCCCACCGGAAGCAAGCAGCCCCUGGAAAUGCCGGAGGCAGGAGGAUGGAUAACGGACCAGCGCAUCCUGCACCAGGCUGGAUGAACAACUCGGGUGCCGCGGAGAAGACGGGGCCACUAUCUCCAGAGGCUCACCAGGGGUACGUUCCUGCCGGUGCUCCUCGCCAUGAGCCACUGGCAGCUCCGCGGCCGGUGGAGGACUGGACGAGGCAAGGUCCGGCACGGCUAUUCACCCGCCGGGCUGGAGACGACGACGCGCCUACUGCUGCUUCUAACGACCAGGUCAGUCGCGGUGGUAACCGUGGCGGCGCGGGGGAACGCGAAUAUCGGUCGAAAUCACGAGGACCGGUGAUCAGGUGA